ACGAACGCUGGCGGCGUGCUUCACACAUGCAAGUCGAACGGAAAGGCCCUGCUUUUGUGGGGUGCUCGAGUGGCGAACGGGUGAGUAACACGUGAGUAACCUGCCCUUGACUUUGGGAUAACUUCAGGAAACUGGGGCUAAUACCGGAUAGGAGCUCCUGCUGCAUGGAGGGGGUUGGAAAGUUUCGGCGGUUGGGGAUGGACUCGCGGCUUAUCAGCUUGUUGGUGGGGUAGUGGCUUACCAAGGCUUUGACGGGUAGCCGGCCUGAGAGGGUGACCGGCCACAUUGGGACUGAGAUACGGCCAAGCCUCCUACGGGAGGCAGCAGUGGGGAAUAUUGCACAAUGGGCGGAAGCCUGAUGCAGCAACGCCGCGUGCGGGAUGACGGCCUUCGGGUUGUAAACCGCUUUCGCCUGUGACGAAGCGUGAGUGAGGGUAAUGGGUAAAGAAGCACCGGCUAACUACGUG
rnacentral:rRNA from 1 species